CCUACGGGAGGCAGCAGUCGAGAAUCAUUCACAAUGGGGGAAACUCUGAUGGUGCGACGCCGCGUGGGGGAAUGAAGGUCUUCGGAUUGUAAACCCCUGUCAUGUGGGGGCAAAUUAAAAAGAUAGUACCACAAGAGGAAGAGACGGCUAACUCUGUGCCAGCAGCCGCGGUAAUACAGAGGUCUCAAGCGUUGUUAGGAAUCACUGGGCGUAAAGCGUGCGUAGGCUGUUUCGUAAGUCGUGUGUGAAAGGCGCGGGCUCAACCCGCGGACGGCACAUGAUACUGCGAGACUAGAGUAAUGGAGGGGGAACCGGAAUGUUCGGUGUAGCAGUGAAAUGCGUAGAGAUCGAGAGGAACACUCGUGGCGAAGGCGGGUUCCUGGACAUUAACUGACGCUGAGGCACGAAGGCCAGGGGAGCGAAAGGGAUUAGAUACCCCUGUAGUC
rnacentral:rRNA from 1 species